AUUGAACGCUGGCGGCAUGCUUUACACAUGCAAGUCGAGCGGCAGCGCGGGGGCAACCCUGGCGGCGAGCGGCGAACGGGUGAGUAAUGCAUCGGAACGUAUCCUCGAGUGGGGGAUAACCCAGCGAAAGUUGGGCUAAUACCGCAUGAGCUCUGAGGAGGAAAGCGGGGGACCUGCGAGGGCCUCGCGCUGGAGGAGCGGCCGAUGUCCGAUUAGCUAGUUGGUGGGGUGAAGGCUUACCAAGGCGACGAUCGGUAGCUGGUCUGAGAGGAUGAUCAGCCACACUGGGACUGAGACACGGCCCAGACUCCUACGGGAGGCAGCAGUGGGGAAUUUUGGACAAUGGGGGCAACCCUGAUCCAGCCAUGCCGCGUGAGUGAAGAAGGCCUUCGGGUUGUAAAGCUCUUUCGGACGGAACGAAAUGGGCGGGACUAAUACUCCUGUCUGAUGACGGUACCGGAAGAAGAAGCACCGGCUAACUACGUG
rnacentral:rRNA from 1 species